GGUAUAAGAUAACCUUUAAGAUAAAAUAUGUCAUCCCUCUGACAUCCCUCUGGAUUGGGGACUGUGUGGACACAGACUUUGUAGGCCCCAGUCAGGCCAGGAAAUCCAUUUUCCUAGGCUGGCCCAUGGAGAACUUCAUCGCCACUUUCCGGUCUGUGGACCAAAAAAGAGAUUGGUGGUGUUUCCUUGAAAGAUCUAUUAAACAGACAAAGGAGAAGUACCAUGGGAGGAGUACUGCACUGGAGAUAUUCACAGAUGUCAUCCCGA